rnacentral:rRNA from 1 species
UACGUAGGGUGCAAGCGUUGUCCGGAAUUAUUGGGCGUAAAGAGCUCGUAGGCGGUCUGUCGCGUCUGCUGUGAAAACUCAGGGCUUAACCCUGAGCUUGCAGUGGGUACGGGCAGACUAGAGUGCGGUAGGGGAGACUGGAAUUCCUGGUGUAGCGGUGAAAGUGCGCAGAUAUCAGGAGGAACACCGGUGGGCGAAGGCGGGUCUCUGGGC